CCUACGGGAGUCAGCAGUGAGGAAUAUUGGUCAAUGGGCGACAGCCUGAACCAGCCAAGUCGCGUGAAGGAUGAAGGAUCUAUGGUUUGUAAACUUCUUUUAUAUGGGAAUAAAGUGAGGGACGUCUUCCACUCUGUAUGUGCCAUAUGAAUAAGCCUCGGCUAACUCCGUGCCAGCAGCCGCGGUAAUACGGAGGAUGCUAGCGUUAUCCGGAUUUAUUGGGUUGAAAGGGUUCGUAGGUGGGUAAGUAAGUCAGCGGUGAAAGUUUGUGGCUUAAACAUAAAAUUGCCGUUGAGACUGGUUGACUUGAGUGUAUAUGAGGUAGGCGGAAUGCGUGGUGUAGCGGUGAAAUGCAUAGAUAUCACGCAGAACUCCGAUUGCGAAGGCAGCUUACUAAUCUAUAACUGACGCUGAGGCACGAAAGCGUGGGGAUCAAACAGGAUUAGAUACCCCAGUAGUC
rnacentral:rRNA from 1 species